rnacentral:misc_RNA from 1 species
GAUGAAGAACGCAGCGAAAUGCGAUACGUAAUGUGAAUUGCAGAAUUCAGUGAAUCAUCGAGUCUUUGAACGCACAUUGCGCCCCCUGGUAUUCCGGGGGGCAUGCCUGUCCGAGCGUCAUUGCUGCCCUCAAGCACGGCUUGUGUGUUGGGCCUCCGUCCUCCUCCCGGGGGACGGGCCCGAAAGGCAGCGGCGGCACCGCGUCCGGUCCUCGAGCGUAUGGGGCUUCGUCACCCGCUCUUGUAGGCCCGGCCGGCGCUUGCCAACACAUCAAUCUUUUUUCCAGGUUGACCUCGGAUCAGGUAGGGAUACCCGCUGAACUUAAGCAUAUCAAUAAGCGGAGGA